rnacentral:rRNA from 1 species
UACGGGAGGCAGCAGUGGGGGAAUAUUGCACAAUGGGCGCAAGCCUGAUGCAGCCAUGCCGCGUGUAUGAAGAAGGCCUUCGGGUUGUAAAGUACUUUCAGUCGUGAGGAAGGUGUUAAGGUUAAUAACCUUAGCAAUUGACGUUAGCGACAGAAGAAGCACCGGCUAACUCCGUGCCAGCAGCCGCGGUAAUACGGAGGGUGCGAGCGUUAAUCGGAAUUACUGGGCGUAAAGGGCACGCAGGCGGUUAAUUAAGUUGGAUGUGAAAUCCCCGGGCUUAACCUGGGAAUGGCAUUCAAGACUGGUUAGCUAGAGUCUUGUAGAGGGGGUAGAAUUCCAUGUGUAGCGGUGAAAUGCGUAGAGAUGUGGAGGAAUACCGGUGGCGAAGGCGGCCCCUGGACAAAGACUGACGCUCAUGUGCGAAAGCGUGGGGAGCGAAACAGGGAUUAGAUAC